UUUUUAUACCUAAUAAAAUACUACUAUGAAAUACGUAAACCCCUAAAAAUUAGGGUACAAGCUCACUAUCGGAAAUUACAAGGAGAUCUCUUCCAAUCAUCUUCACCACCAAAAAUCAGCAAAAACUAGCCCAAAUCACCUUGAAAUCAGUCAAAAAAACAGCCCCAAAUACCCCAGCGAAAAUCAGUCAAAAAGACCUCAAAACAAUCACCUCUGAAAAUGGGUCCAAAUCUCAGUCAAAAGGAGGUCAAAACGCUGCAGAAGAUAACCAUUAGAGCAGCUCCAAAUUAUCAUCUCCUCCAAUACGAUCUCCUCCAGUCAACAGCUCUUCUCGCUUGUCAGCGCCAUUACCGACUCGCUCGCUCUCUGUUUGCUCAAUUACUCAAAAUUCAUUUUCCUUUCAAAAACCCUAGCAUCGAGUUUCUACUUAUUUACUAGCUCGCAUCGAGUUUCUACUUCGUACGUCUAAUUCGGGUGGAGUAGAAAUGAAAGACAGAGGCGGUGAUGAAGAUCUAGACCUUACUUAAGAGAAUUUUGAAUUAUUGAUUGUUGUAGAUGCAUGUGGCGGUUUUUAGGAAUGUUUGUUAUCAAGACAUUUUAAAACAUUUUUUAUUUAUAUAAUUUUUAGUGUUUUAUAGUUUAUUGU